AAGGGAUAGUCAUCCCAGUGCAGCGGUGAAAUGCGUAGUGAUCUGGAGAUACCUGUGGCGAAGCCGCCCCCUUGGACGAAGACUGACGCUCCAGGUGCGAAAGCGUGGGGGAGCAAAACAGGAUUAGAUACCUGGUAGUCCACGCUGUAAACGAUGUCGAUUUGGAGGUUGUGCCUUGAGGCGUGGCUUCCGGAGCUAACGCGUUAAAUCGACCGCCUGGGGAGUACGGCCGCAAGGUUAAAACUCAAAUGAAUUGACGGGGGCCCGCACAAGCGGUGGAGCAUGUGGUUUAAUUCGAUGCAACGCGAAGAACCUUACCUACUCUUGACAUCCAGAGAACUUUCCAGAGAUGGAUUGGUGCCUUCGGGAACUCUGAGACAGGUGCUGCAUGGCUGUCGUCAGCUCGUGUUGUGAAAUGUUGGGUUAAGUCCCGCAACGAGCGCAACCCUUAUCCUUUGUUGCCAGCGGUUCGGCCGGGAACUCAAAGGAGACUGCCAGUGAUAAACUGGAGGAAGGUGGGGAUGACGUCAAGUCAUCAUGGCCCUUACGAGUAGGGCUACACACGUGCUACAAUGGCGUAUACAAAGAGAAGCGACCUCGCGAGAGCAAGCGGACCUCAUAAAGUACGUCGUAGUCCGGAUUGGAGUCUGCAACUCGACUCCAUGAAGUCGGAAUCGCUAGUAAUCGUAGAUCAGAAUGCUACGGUGAAUACGUUCCCGGGCCUUGUACACACCGCCCGUCACACCAUGGGAGUGGGUUGCAAAAGAAGUAGGUAGCUAACCUCGGGAGGGCGCUACCAGCGUGGAAUACCG
rnacentral:rRNA from 1 species